UCGAGAAUUUUUCACAAUGGGCGCAAGCCUGAUGGAGCGACGCCGCGUGGGGGGUGAAUGGCUUCGGCCCGUAAACCCCUGUCAUUUGCGAUCAACCGUUAUUAUUUAAAAGAUGAUAACCUGAUAGUAGCGGAAGAGGAAGGGACGGCUAACUCUGUGCCAGCAGCCGCGGUAAUACAGAGGUCCCAAGCGUUGUUCGGAUUUACUGGGCGUAAAGGGUGCGUAGGUGGCGGUGUAAGUCGGAUGUGAAAUCUCCGAGCUCAACUCGGAAACUGCAUUGGAAACUACAUUGCUCGAGGGUUGGAGGGGGGACUGGAAUACUUGGUGUAGCAGUGAAAUGCGUAGAUAUCAAGUGGAACACCAGUGGCGAAGGCGAGUCCCUGGACAACUCCUGACACUGAGGCACGAAAGCUAGGGGAGCAAACAG
rnacentral:rRNA from 1 species